UACGUAGGGUGCGAGCGUUAAUCGGAAUUACUGGGCGUAAAGUGUGCGCAGGCGGCCGCGCAAGUCGAGUGUGAAAGCCCCGGGCUUAACUUGGGAAUUGCGCUCGAAACUACGUGGCUGGAGUGUGGCAGAGGAAGGUGGAAUUCCACGUGUAGCGGUGAAAUGCGUAGAGAUGUGGAGGAACACCAAUGGCGAAGGCAGCCUUCUGGGCCAACACUGACGCUCAGACACGACAGCAUGGGGAGCGAACGGG
rnacentral:rRNA from 1 species